GUCCCAGUUCGGACUGUAGUCUGCAACCCGACUACACGAAGCUGGAAUCGCUAGUAAUCGCGGAUCAGAAUGCCGCGGUGAAUACGUUCCCGGGUCUUGUACACACCGCCCGUCACACCAUGGGAGUCGGAAAUGCCCGAAGCCGGUGGCCUAACCGAUAAGGGAGGAGCCGUCGAAGGCAGGUCUGAUGACUGGGGUGAAGUCGUAACAAGGUACC
rnacentral:rRNA from 1 species